UACGAAGGGUGCAAGCGUUGUUCGGAAUUACUGGGCGUAAAGCGCGCGUAGGCGGGUCUGUAAGUCGAUUGUGAAAUCCCUGGGCUCAACCCGGGACGUGCAGUCGAAACUGCAGAUCUUGAAUGUCUGAGAGGAUGGCGGAAUUCCCGGUGUAGUAGUGAAAUACGUAGAUAUCGGGAAGAACACCUGAGGCGAAGGCGGCUAUCUGGCGGAACAUUGACGCUAAGGCGCGAAAGCGUGGGGAGCAAACAGG
rnacentral:rRNA from 1 species